rnacentral:rRNA from 1 species
UUAAGCGACUAAGCGUACACGGUGGAUGCCCUGGCAGUCAGAGGCGAUGAAGGACGUGCUAAUCUGCGAUAAGCGUCGGUAAGGUGAUAUGAACCGUUAUAACCGGCGAUUUCCGAAUGGGGAAACCCAGUGUGUUUCGACACACUAUCAUUAACUGAAUCCAUAGGUUAAUGAGGCGAACCGGGGGAACUGAAACAUCUAAGUACCCCGAGGAAAAGAAAUCAACCGAGAUUCCCCCAGUAGCGGCGAGCGAACGGGGAGCAGCCCAGAGCCUGAAUCAGUAUGUGUGUUAGUGGAAGCGUCUGGAAAGGCGCGCGAUACAGGGUGACAGCCCCGUACACAAAAAUGCACAUAUUGUGAGCUCGAUGAGUAGGGCGGGACACGUGGUAUCCUGUCUGAAUAUGGGGGGACCAUCCUCCAAGGCUAAAUACUCCUGACUGACCGAUAGUGAACCAGUACCGUGAGGGAAAGGCGAAAAGAACCCCGGCGAGGGGAGUGAAAAAGAACCUGAAACCGUGUACGUACAAGCAGUGGGAGCACGCUUAGGCGUGUGACUGCGUACCUUUUGUAUAAUGGGUCAGCGACUUAUAUUCUGUAGCAAGGUUAACCGAAUAGGGGAGCCGAAGGGAAACCGAGUCUUAACUGGGCGUUAAGUUGCAGGGUAUAGACCCGAAACCCGGUGAUCUAGCCAUGGGCAGGUUGAAGGUUGGGUAACACUAACUGGAGGACCGAACCGACUAAUGUUGAAAAAUUAGCGGAUGACUUGUGGCUGGGGGUGAAAGGCCAAUCAAACCGGGAGAUAGCUGGUUCUCCCCGAAAGCUAUUUAGGUAGCGCCUCGUGAAUUCAUCUCCGGGGGUAGAGCACUGUUUCGGCAAGGGGGUCAUCCCGACUUACCAACCCGAUGCAAACUGCGAAUACCGGAGAAUGUUAUCACGGGAGACACACGGCGGGUGCUAACGUCCGUCGUGAAGAGGGAAACAACCCAGACCGCCAGCUAAGGUCCCAAAGUCAUGGUUAAGUGGGAAACGAUGUGGGAAGGCCCAGACAGCCAGGAUGUUGGCUUAGAAGCAGCCAUCAUUUAAAGAAAGCGUAAUAGCUCACUGGUCGAGUCGGCCUGCGCGGAAGAUGUAACGGGGCUAAACCAUGCACCGAAGCUGCGGCAGCGACGCUGAUGCGUUGUUGGGUAGGGGAGCGUUCUGUAAGCCUGCGAAGGUGUGCUGUGAGGCAUGCUGGAGGUAUCAGAAGUGCGAAUGCUGACAUAAGUAACGAUAAAGCGGGUGAAAAGCCCGCUCGCCGGAAGACCAAGGGUUCCUGUCCAACGUUAAUCGGGGCAGGGUGAGUCGACCCCUAAGGCGAGGCCGAAAGGCGUAGUCGAUGGGAAACAGGUUAAUAUUCCUGUACUUGGUGUUACUGCGAAGGGGGGACGGAGAAGGCUAUGUUGGCCGGGCGACGGUUGUCCCGGUUUAAGCGUGUAGGCUGGUUUUCCAGGCAAAUCCGGAAAAUCAAGGCUGAGGCGUGAUGACGAGGCACUACGGUGCUGAAGCAACAAAUGCCCUGCUUCCAGGAAAAGCCUCUAAGCAUCAGGUAACAUCAAAUCGUACCCCAAACCGACACAGGUGGUCAGGUAGAGAAUACCAAGGCGCUUGAGAGAACUCGGGUGAAGGAACUAGGCAAAAUGGUGCCGUAACUUCGGGAGAAGGCACGCUGAUAUGUAGGUGAAGCGACUUGCUCGUGGAGCUGAAAUCAGUCGAAGAUACCAGCUGGCUGCAACUGUUUAUUAAAAACACAGCACUGUGCAAACACGAAAGUGGACGUAUACGGUGUGACGCCUGCCCGGUGCCGGAAGGUUAAUUGAUGGGGUCAGCGCAAGCGAAGCUCUUGAUCGAAGCCCCGGUAAACGGCGGCCGUAACUAUAACGGUCCUAAGGUAGCGAAAUUCCUUGUCGGGUAAGUUCCGACCUGCACGAAUGGCGUAAUGAUGGCCAGGCUGUCUCCACCCGAGACUCAGUGAAAUUGAACUCGCUGUGAAGAUGCAGUGUACCCGCGGCAAGACGGAAAGACCCCGUGAACCUUUACUAUAGCUUGACACUGAACAUUGAGCCUUGAUGUGUAGGAUAGGUGGGAGGCUUGGAAGUGUGGACGCCAGUCUGCAUGGAGCCGACCUUGAAAUACCACCCUUUAAUGUUUGAUGUUCUAACGUGGACCCGUAAUCCGGGUUGCGGACAGUGUCUGGUGGAUAGUUUGACUGGGGCGGUCUCCUCCUAAAGAGUAACGGAGGAGCACGAAGGUUGGCUAAUCCUGGUCGGACAUCAGGAGGUUAGUGCAAUGGCAUAAGCCAGCUUGACUGCGAGCGUGACGGCGCGAGCAGGUGCGAAAGCAGGUCAUAGUGAUCCGGUGGUUCUGAAUGGAAGGGCCAUCGCUCAACGGAUAAAAGGUACUCCGGGGAUAACAGGCUGAUACCGCCCAAGAGUUCAUAUCGACGGCGGUGUUUGGCACCUCGAUGUCGGCUCAUCACAUCCUGGGGCUGAAGUAGGUCCCAAGGGUAUGGCUGUUCGCCAUUUAAAGUGGUACGCGAGCUGGGUUUAGAACGUCGUGAGACAGUUCGGUCCCUAUCUGCCGUGGGCGCUGGAGAACUGAGGGGGGCUGCUCCUAGUACGAGAGGACCGGAGUGGACGCAUCACUGGUGUUCGGGUUGUCAUGCCAAUGGCACUGCCCGGUAGCUAAAUGCGGAAGAGAUAAGUGCUGAAAGCAUCUAAGCACGAAACUUGCCCCGAGAUGAGUUCUCCCUGACUCCUUGAGAGUCCUGAAGGAACGUUGAAGACGACGACGUUGAUAGGCCGGGUGUGUAAGCGCAGCGAUGCGUUGAGCUAACCGGUACUAAUGAACCGUGAGGCUUAACCUU